GGAGAGAUGGCUCAGCGGUUAAGAGCACUGACUGUUUUUACAGAGGUUCUGAGUUCAAUUCUCAGCCACCACA
rfam:Mus musculus chromosome 17, GRC primary reference assembly.